rnacentral:rRNA from 1 species
UACGUAGGGGGCGAGCGUUGUCCGGAUUUACUGGGUGUAAAGGGUGCUCAGGUGGUUUUGUAAGUCAGAGGUGAAAUUUCGGGGCUCAACCCCGGAACUGCCUUUGAUACUGCAAGGCUUGUGUACGGAAGAGGCUGAUGGAAUUUCUGGUGUAGCAGUGAAAUGCGUAGAUAUCAGAAAGAACACCAGUGGCGAAAGGCGGUCAGCUGGUCCGGUACAGACACUAAAGCACGAAAGCAUGGGUAGCAAACAGG